AAUAAAAUUAUUUAUGGUUUAAAAAUUUAUUAUAAAUUUAUUUUACAUAUAAAUUUUAGUGUUAAUUUUUAAUUUAUUUAAAUAAUAAUUAAUAUUUAUUUGUAGUAAUUAGAAUUAAAAAUUUAAGUAAUUAAGAUUUAGUAAUAUUUAAAUUAAUAACAAAUUUUGUGCCAGCAGUUGCGGUUAUACAAAAAUUAAAUUAAAUUUUUUUAGGGAUUAAUUAAUAAUAGAUUAUAUAAUAAAAUUAAAAUUUAAAUUAUUAAGUGAAAUUUUAAUUUAUGAAAAUUUUAUAUUGAAUUAUGAAUUAAAAAAUUUUAUUAAAAACUAGGAUUAGAUACCCUAUUAUUAAAAAUUUAAAUUAAUAAUACUAAAAUAGUAUAUAAUUAUUUAUAAAAACUUAAAUAAUUUGGCGGUAUUUUAGUUUAUUUAGAGGAAUCUGUUUAUUAAUUGAUAUUCCACGAAUAAAUUUACUUAAUUUAUUUAAUUUUGUAUAUCGUUGUUAAAAAAAUAUUUUAAAAUAAUAAUAAUAUUUUAAUUUUUAUAUUAAAAGUUAAAUCAGAUCAAGAUGCAGAUUAUAAUUAAGAAUAUAAUGGAUUACAAUAAAUUUAUUUAAUUGGAUGUUAUUUUUAAAAAUUAAUUGAAAUUGGAUUUAAAUGUAAUUUUAUUUAAUUUAUUAAAAUGAUUUUAAUUUAAAAUAUGUACAUAUUGCCCGUCGCUUUCAUUAAUAAAUUGAAAUAAGUCGUAACAAAGUAGAGGUACUGGAAAGUGUUUCUAGAAAGAG
rnacentral:ncRNA from 1 species